rnacentral:lncRNA from 1 species
GGCUAAAUCAUGCAUGAAAAGAGAGUUGAAGCUUUAUGAAAGAUGAGAAGAAUCAAGGAAAGUGCAUGGGAACCCAAAACAAGAAAUAUAAGCAAAAACAAGAUAUAGACACCAAAGACAUGAGAGUUAACCAUGUUUGGAAGCUUUGGAGAGCAUGGAGGAUGAUUUAAUCAUGUUUAGAGACAUGUGGGAGGUCAAAAUAAGAAAAUGAUGGAAGAAAAG